rnacentral:rRNA from 1 species
GAUGAACGCUAGCGGCAGGCCUAACACAUGCAAGUCGAGGGGUAACAGAAAAGCUUGCUUUUGCUGACGACCGGCGCACGGGUGCGUAACGCGUAUGCAACCUACCUCAUACUGGAGGAUAGCCCCUGGAAACGGGGAUUAAUACUCCAUAGUAUCACAAUUUCGCAUGUUAUUGUGAUUAAAGUUUUUCGGUAUGAGAUGGGCAUGCGUCCCAUUAGCUUGUUGGUGAGGUAACGGCUCACCAAGGCAACGAUGGGUAGGGGGCCUGAGAGGGUGGUCCCCCACACUGGUACUGAGACACGGACCAGACUCCUACGGGAGGCAGCAGUGAGGAAUAUUGGUCAAUGGAGGAAACUCUGAACCAGCCAUGCCGCGUGAAGGAUGACGGCCCUAUGGGUUGUAAACUUCUUUUAUAGAGGAAGAAACUUGUCUACGUGUAGACAACUGACGGUACUCUACGAAUAAGGAUCGGCUAACUCCGUGCCAGCAGCCGCGGUAAUACGGAGGAUCCAAGCGUUAUCCGGAUUCAUUGGGUUUAAAGGGUCCGUAGGCGGAUUUUUAAGUCAGUGGUGAAAGCCGACAGCUCAACUGUCGAACUGCCAUUGAUACUGGAAAUCUUGAGUACAAAUGAAGUAGGCGGAAUGAGUCAUGUAGCGGUGAAAUGCAUAGAUAUGACUCAGAACACCGAUUGCGAAGGCAGCUUACUAACAUGUAACUGACGCUGAGGGACGAAAGCGUGGGGAGCGAACAGGAUUAGAUACCCUGGUAGUCCACGCCGUAAACGAUCAUCACUCGCUGUUGGCGAUAUACUGUCAGCGGCCAAGCGAAAGUAUUAAGUGAUGCACCUGGGGAGUACGCCGGCAACGGUGAAACUCAAAGGAAUUGACGGGGGCCCGCACAAGCGGUGGAGCAUGUGGUUUAAUUCGAUGAUACGCGAGGAACCUUACCAGGGCUUAAAUGUAGUAUGACCGGCUUGGAAACAGGCCUUCUCUUCGGAGCAGAUUACAAGGUGCUGCAUGGUUGUCGUCAGCUCGUGCCGUGAGGUGUUAGGUUAAGUCCUGCAACGAGCGCAACCCCUAUUCUUAGUUGCCAGCGGUUCGGCCGGGGACUCUAAGAAGACUGCCAGCGCAAGCUGAGAGGAAGGUGGGGAUGACGUCAAAUCAUCACGGCCCUUACGUCCUGGGCUACACACGUGCUACAAUGGUAGAGACAGAGGGCAGCCACCUGGUGACAGGGAGCGAAUCCUUAAACUCUAUCUCAGUUCGGAUCGGAGUCUGCAACUCGACUUCGUGAAGCUGGAAUCGCUAGUAAUCGCGCAUCAGCCAUGGCGCGGUGAAUACGUUCCCGGGCCU